UACGUAGGGCGCAAGCGUUGUCCGGAAUUAUUGGGCGUAAAGAGCUCGUAGGCGGCCUGUCGCGUCUGCUGUGAAAUCCCGGGGCUUAACCCCGGGCGUGCAGUGGAUACGGGCUGGCUGGAGGCAGGCAGGGGAGAAUGGAAUUCCCGGUGUAGCGGUGGAAUGCGCAGAUAUCAGGAGGAACACCUAUAGCGAAGGCAGCUCGCUGGGACGACACUGACGCUGAGACGCGAAAGCGUGGGGAGCGAACAGG
rnacentral:rRNA from 1 species